rnacentral:tRNA from 1 species
UCCCAACUGGCUCAGAGGUAGAGAAUCUGCCUACCAAGCAGGAAACAAGGGUUGGAUCCCUGGUUCGGGA